UACUAGAGUAGCACUCGCAUAUCAAUAAGCGGAGGAAAAGAAACUAACAAGGAUUCCCCUAGUAACGGCGAGUGAAGCAGGAAGAGCUCAAAUUUGAAAUCUUAAAGGGUUUCCCUUUACGAAUUGUAGUUUAAAGAAGUGUUUUCUGUUGAGGUUUUGGUAAAAGUUCUUUGGAAUAGGACAUCAUAGAGGGUGAGAAUCCCGUAUUUGACCUUUACUUUCAACUUUGUGAUACACUUUCAAAGAGUCGGAUUGUUUGGGAAUGCAGUCCAAAAUGGGUGGUAAAUUUCAUCUAAAGCUAAAUAUUGGCGAGAGACCGAUAGCGAACAAGUACCGUGAGGGAAAGAUGAAAAGAACUUUGAAAAGAGAGUUAAACAGUACGUGAAAUUGUCAAAAGGGAAGCGUUUGACACCAGUGUUAUUUUUCUGAAAAUCAAUUAAAGAACUGUUUAUGCUAAGUUGUUUAGACUUUAUCAGCUAUCUGUUUAGUUUUGAGCUUUUCUUUAAUGCACUUUUCAGUUAACAAGUCAACAUCAAUUUCUUUUGCUGUAAAAAAGCUUGAGGAAGGUGGAUUGAGAUUCGUCUUAAGUGUUUAUAGCCUCUUGCCUAUGCAGUCGGAGAGAUUGAGGUCUGCAGCGUAGAUCCUUCGGGGCUAAAUGCAGUUUGUGCUAAGUUAUAGCAUUUUAUAGACAACUUGUUGACUAUGAUUUGUCUUGUAGCUUACUCGCUUAUGUUAUUUUACCUACGCUUAGGAUGUUGAGCGCAUGUCUCUCUCU
rnacentral:rRNA from 1 species